rnacentral:rRNA from 1 species
CCUACGGGUGGCAGCAGUGGGGAAUAUUGCACAAUGGGCACAAGCCUGAUGCAGCAACGCCGCGUGAGAGAAGAAGGUCUUCGGAUCGUAAAGCUCUGUCCGUGAGGAAGAAGGAAGGGACGGUACUCAAGGAGGAAGCCCCGGCUAACGACGUGCCAGCAGCCGCGGUAAUACGGAGGGGGCAAGCGUUAUCCGGAAUUAUUGGGCGUAAAGAGGACGUAGGUGGUUUUGGAAGCGCGGGGGGAAAGGCAGUGGCUUAACCCUUGUACGCCUUGCGAACUGCAAGGCUUGAGUGCAGGAGAGGCCAGCUGAAUUCCUCGUGUAGCGGUGAAAUGCUUAGAUAUUAGGAGGAACACCAGUGGCGAAGGCGGCUUUCUGGACUGUAACUGACACUGAGGUACGAAAGCGUGGGGAGCAACCAGGAUUAGAUACCCCGGUAGUC